AUGACGAUCCUAAGUUGGAACUGUCGAGGCCUCGGGCAACCUCGAACAGUUCAGGAACUCGUGUGUCUCAUGCACACGUACAAGCCCAAGCUCGUCUUCCUCUCUGAAACCCGGCAAAAGAAUAAAUAUGUCAGCAAUCUGAAGUGGAGGAUAGGCCUUCGCCACUGUAUCACGCAAUCCGGCACUGGUAAAGGUGCCGGCAUUGCCCUCUUUUAUGAUGAGAAUAUUGAAAUAAAGAAGAUUGCCGCAGGGGCGAGAUACAUCGAUGUGUUAGUCCGUAUGAACCCUCAUGGCCUCCAAUGGCGGGCUACUUUUGUCUAUGGUGAGCCCAAGGCGCAUGAACGCCACCACAUGUGGACUCUGUUACGAAGGAUAAAAGACACCUCGAACCUGCCAUGGCUUAUGAUCGGUGAUUUCAAUGAGACAAUGUGGCAAUCUGAGCAUAUAUCAGCGUCGAAAAGAUCAGAGAAACACAUGGAAAAUUUUAGGAGUGUGCUCUCAGACUGCAAUCUUUUUGAUGUGGGUUUCAAGGGGCCGGUGUGAACAUAUAACAACAAACAGGAAGGUUUGAAGAAUGUACGAGCUCGCUUGGACAGAGGAGUAGCUUCACCUGCGUGGAUGGACCACUACAAAGAGGCUAGGUUGGAACAUAUCUGUUCAUCACGAUCAGACCACCUUCCUAUCCUGUUGCGGCUA
rnacentral:rRNA from 1 species